rnacentral:rRNA from 1 species
ACGGGUGGCGAGUGGCGGAGGGGUGAGGAAUACAUCGGAUCUACUUUUUCGUGGGGGAUAACGUAGGGAAACUUACGCUUAUACCGCACACCACCUACGGGUGAAAGCGGGGGAUCUUCGGACCUUGCGCGAUUGAAUGAGCCGAUCUCGGAAUAGCUUGUUGGCGGGGUAAAGGCCCACCAGGGCCACUAUCCAUAUCUUGUCUGAGAGGAUGAUCAGCCACACUGGAACUGAGACACGGUCCAGACCCCUACGGGAGGCAGCAGUGGGGAAUAUUGGACAAUGGGCGCACGCCUGAUCCCGCCAUACCGCGUGGGUGAAGAAGGCCUUCGGGUUGUAAAGCCCUUUUGUUGGGAAAGAAAUCCCGCCCGCUAACACCUGGUUGGGAUGACUGUACCCAAAGAAUAAGCACCGGCAAACUUCGUGCCAGCAGCCGCGGUAAUACAAAGGGUGCACGCGUUACUCGGAAUUACGGGGCGUAAAGCGUGCGUAGGUUGUCGUUUAAGUCCUUUGUGAAAGCCCUGGGCUCAACCUGGGAACUGCAGUGGAUA